UGAAACUGCGAAUGGCUCAUUAUAUCAGUUAUAGUGUAUUUGAUUGUCAUUGCUCUUGGAUAACCGUAGUAAUUCUAGAGCUAAUACAUGCAUCAAUCCCCGACUUCUGGAAGGGGUGUAUUUAUUAGAUGGAAACCAAUGCGGGGCAACCCGGAAUUAGGUGAUUCAUAAUAACUCGCGCAGCGACUUUGUCGCGAAAUCAUAUCGGUUUCUGCCCCAUCAGCUUUGGAUGGUAGGGUAUUGGCCUACCAUGGCUUUAACGGGUAACGGAGAAUUAGGGUUCGAUUCCGGAGAGGGAGCCUGAGAAACGGCUACCACAUCCAAGGAAGGCAGCAGGCGCGUAAAUUACCCAAUCCUGACACAGGGAGGUAGUGACAAUAAAUAACAAUGCCGGGCUUUUAAAAGUCUGGCAAUUGGAAUGAGAACAAUUUAAAUCCCUUAUCGAGGAUCAAUUGGAGGGCAAGUCUGGUGCCAGCAGCCGCGGUAAUUCCAGCUCCAAUAGCGUAUACUAAAGUUGUUGCAGUUAAAAAGCUCGUAGUUGAAUUUCUGGUCGCGGAUCCCGGUCCGCACCUCACGGUGUGUGCACUAGGCAUCCGCAGCCAUCUUCGAGGAAGACGCAGCUGGCAUUUAGUUGUCGGCUGUGGAGUCCUCGUCAUUUACUGUGAGUAAAAUAGAGUGUUCAAAGCACGCUUAUGCCGUUGAAUAUAUUAGCAUGGAAUAAUAAGAUAAGACCCUGGUCUAUUUUGUUGGUUUGUAUUCCAAGGUAAUGAUUAAUAGGGAUAGUUGGGGGUAUUCGUAUUCAAUUGUCAGACGUGAAUUCUUGGAUUUAUGGAAGACGAACUACUGCGAAGCAUUACAGGAUGUUUUCAUCAUCAGACGAAAGUAGGGAUCGAGAUGAUAGAUACAUCGUAGUCUACAUAACUAUGGCGACUAGGAAUGAUGAGUUUUUAUGACUCCAUCAGCACUAUGGAAAUCCAGUCUUUCGGUUCAGGCGGAAUGGUCGCAAGCUUAACUUA
rnacentral:rRNA from 1 species